GACGAACGCUGGCGGCGUGCCUAAUACAUGCAAGUAGAACGCUGAAGAGAGGAGCUUGCUCUUCUUGGAUGAGUUGCGAGCGGGUGAGUAACGCGUAGGUAACCUGCCUUGUAGCGGGGGAUAACUAUUGGAAACGAUAGCUAAUACCGCAUAACAAUGGAUGACACAUGUCAUUUAUUUGAAAGGGGCAAUUGCUCCACUACAAGAUGGACCUGCGUUGUAUUAGCUAGUAGGUGAGGUAACGGCUCACCUAGGCGACGAUACAUAGCCGACCUGAGAGGGUGAUCGGCCACACUGGGACUGAGACACGGCCCAGACUCCUACGGGAGGCAGCAGUAGGGAAUCUUCGGCAAUGGGGGCAACCCUGACCGAGCAACGCCGCGUGAGUGAAGAAGGUUUUCGGAUCGUAAAGCUCUGUUGUAAGUCAAGAACGAGUGUGAGAGUGGAAAGUUCACACUGUGACGGUAGCUUACCAGAAAGGGACGGCUAACUACGUGCCAGCAGCCGCGGUAAUACGUAGGUCCCGAGCGUUGUCCGGAUUUAUUUGGGCGUAAAGCGAGCGCAGGCGGCUUGAUAAGUCUGAAGUUAAAGGCUGUGGCUCAACCAUAGUUCGCUUUGGAAACUGUCAAACUUGAGUGCAGAAGGGGAGAGUGGAAUUCCAUGUGUAGCGGUGAAAUGCGUAGAUAUAUGGAGGAACACCGGUGGCGAAAGCGGCUCUCUGGUCUGUAACUGACGCUGAGGCUCGAAAGCGUGGGGAGCGAACAGGAUUAGAUACCCUGGUAGUCCACGCCGUAAACGAUGAGUGCUAGGUGUUGGAUCCUUUCCGGGAUUCAGUGCCGCAGCUAACGCAUUAAGCACUCCGCCUGGGGAGUACGACCGCAAGGUUGAAACUCAAAGGAAUUGACGGGGGCCCGCACAAGCGGUGGAGCAUGUGGUUUAAUUCGAAGCAACGCGAAGAACCUUACCAGGUCUUGACAUCCCGAUGCUAUUUCUAGAGAUAGAAAGUUACUUCGGUACAUCGGUGACAGGUGGUGCAUGGUUGUCGUCAGCUCGUGUCGUGAGAUGUUGGGUUAAGUCCCGCAACGAGCGCAACCCCUAUUGUUAGUUGCCAUCAUUCAGUUGGGCACUCUAGCGAGACUGCCGGUAAUAAACCGGAGGAAGGUGGGGAUGACGUCAAAUCAUCAUGCCCCUUAUGACCUGGGCUACACACGUGCUACAAUGGUUGGUACAACGAGUUGCAAGUCGGUGACGGCAAGCUAAUCUCUUAAAGCCAAUCUCAGUUCGGAUUGUAGGCUGCAACUCGCCUACAUGAAGUCGGAAUCGCUAGUAAUCGCGGAUCAGCACGCCGCGGUGAAUACGUUCCCGGGCCU
rnacentral:rRNA from 1 species